rnacentral:rRNA from 1 species
UACGUAGGGACCGAGCGUUGUCCGGAAUCAUUGGGCGUAAAGAGCGUGUAGGCGGCCUUUUAAGUCCUGCGUGAAAUCCUGCGGCUCAACCGCAGACGGUCGUGGGAAACUGGAAGGCUAGAGUGCGGGAGAGGAGAGUGGAAUUCCCGGUGUAGCGGUGAAAUGCGCAGAUAUCGGGAAGAACACCCGUGGCGAAGGCGGCUCUCUGGAACGCAACUGACGCUGAGAC